GAUCUCUGAGUGGGGUUCGGCUGAGAGAGGCCACAGUUUCAUCUUUGGGAAGCUACCCUGGGCCGGCCACGCGCCGUGAGCCGGACUGGCGACGCCCCCCUGCCUCCACCGUGCUCCUUCACCCGAGAAAUUCAGCUCAGCCCCAGCCUCUCGGCAACCUCCCUUUGGCUCCGCCUUUUAAAGGACCUUUACGAGACAGGCAAGAGAGCCACAGAAGAGAAAGUGAUGUGAAGACAGAAGCAGGGAUUGGAGUGAUCCAUCUACAAGCCAAGAAAUACCAAUGGUUGCUGCCAGCCACCAGGAUCUAGGAGAGUGGCAUGGAACAGAUUUUCCCUUAGAGCUUCCAGAAAGAACUAACCCUGUCAACACUGUGAUUCUGGACAGUGGAAGAAUGUACACUGGGAACAGCACAUGCAAAAGUCCUGGGCAGAAGCUGGUCUGGAGGAUUUGAGGAACUGCAAGGAAGCAGCGAUGACUAGAGAGGCAUGAGGGAAAAAAAAGGCAGUAAAUGAGGUCAUGAAGAUGAUGGAAGGGGGCAAGGUCGGAUUAGCUGGUUUGGUUCUCUAUUUCUGCAUGAGAAACUAUCUCAAGUUUUGUGGCUUAAAACAACCACCUUUUUGUAUCUCACAAUUGGUGGAUCAGGAAUUUGGACAAAAUUCAACUGGGCAUUUUUUUCUGCUCUACUAGCAUCAAAUAAGGUCACUCUGAUGUUCACUGGCAGAUGGGUUGGUCUGUAGGAUUCCACGUGGUUUCACUCUCAUGUUUGGUGCCUGGGGGAGAUAGCUGGAAGGCUGGGUUCAGCUAGGCCCCUCUUCCUCUCCAUGUAGUCUCAGGGCCUCUCCAUGUGGUCUCUAUUAGAAUAGCUGGAUUUCUUACAUGGUGUCUGAAGGUUCCAAGAGCAAGUGUUUCAAGAGACAGGAAAUAGAAAAUGCCAGUCUUCUAAGGCCUGGACACAGAAACAGACACAGUGGCACUUCUGCCAUAUUUCUAGUAGAGACGGGGUUUCACCACGUUGGCCAGGCUGGUCUCGAACUCCUGACCUCAGGGAUCCACCUGCCUUGGCCUCCCAAAAUGCUGGAAUUACAGACAUGAGCUACCGCGACUGGCCACUUCUGCCAUAUUUCAUUGGUCAAAGAAGUCAUGGAAAGGGAGAUAGCAAUAUACCUUUCAAUGGGAAGAGUGUCAAAUAAUUUGUGACUAUCUUUAAUCUACCAAUAGGCCCUUGUAGGUCAUAGUAAAGACUUGGGAUUUUCCUCUACCAGAGAUGGGAGCCGUUGGAGGGUGUUAAACAGAAGAGUGACAUGAUCUGGCUUUCAUUUUAACAGGACCACUCUAUCUACCAUUUUGAGAAAGCACUGCAGGUAGGGAAGAAGUAGGAAGAACCGUUAGGGGGCUAUUGCAAUAAACCAAGCAAGAGAUAGUGGUGGCUUGGGCCAGGGUGGAGGCAAAGGAGGUAGUGAGCAGUGGUUGAAUUCUGGAUAUAUUUUGCAGGCAGAACCAUCCAGAUUUGCUGAUGCAUUAAAUAUGGGCGUGAAAUAAAAAGAGGAGUCAAAGAUAACUCCAAAACAUUCAUCUGAGAUUUAGUAAACUAGAAUUACUGUUAACGGAGAUGGGAGCAGCAGC
rnacentral:lncRNA from 10 species